AAUAUAAGGUUACUUACAGUUCACUCUUCUAUAAAGCAGUUGAUAAUCCACUAGACGUGAUGUUAAACAAGAACUACUAUGGGCCACUCUGAAACAUAGUAGAAAAGAUAUUUUUUCAGGUACUGACAGCAUGCCUUGCUUAUCACUACUUCUAACACAUUACCAGAAAAUCUCUUAAGAUCUCCAACUAUGAAGGAGAUUUUUACUGACUUCUAUCACACUAUAAUUGUACAUAAAACCUGGAAGAUAAGCUUGGUGCUCAGAAGCCAUGCUGAUAUAUGUUUGGGGAUAGGAGGCAGGUGACAUGCCAACGUAGUUUAGUGAAAUAUUGGUCACCUCCUGGGACAAGGCUUGCUGAAGUCAAUUCUGCCUGUAGAAAAAUCUGUGGGGCUACACAAAUGCACACUAAGUAAGAAUCUAUUCAUGUUCUAAAUUUUCUAUCCUACUGACAUUCUUUUGAAAUCACACAGUGGAUGAUUGAAUUUCUUUUAUUUUUUUUUUUUUUUUACUUCACAUUAUUUGCAGGUAAAAUUUGUUGUACAAAGCAUAACGGAGAACUUAAGAAUGACCCUGUGAAGUUGCAUGGUAGAGCAUUACUUUUAUGAAGUGCUUAGGAACUGAAAGCUGCUUUUACACCCACUGACAUAACAUCAUCACAUUUCCUCUCUAACUCGCCCCCGAAACUAACAAAUGCAGACAGGAUGAUAAUUGAUGUAAUUUUGGUGAUGAAAUUAUCUAUCAUCCACCAAAAUUUAUUCAAGAGACGUUGUCAUCCUGCACUCUCUCAAAGAAACAGGAAAACAUCUUUUGUGUAGUGAUGAUAGUGUGUUCUGACAGAUAGGACAUGAAGUGACCUAACAUGUAAAUUAUAUCUGUAAUAGACUAGCCAGAGCUAUAAUAUAUACUUAAAACCAAAGCAGACCGGAUAUCAAAUUUGUCUCAGAAGGCAAAUAUUUAGGAUGGGAUGGCUCUUCUAGUCUCAUGCAGCUAUUUUUUUUUUUUUUUUGUCUUACUAAAUUUUAGCUCAGUAUAGUUACAAGAUAAACUCAGUAUAUGACAAAAGCUGGUCUGCAGACCUACAAACGAACCUCAGAGGGAAUAAGGAGGGGGGAGUCCUGCCAAACCACUCCCUGGCCCAGGUGCCACCAGCCCAUCAAAGACCCAUCAAAGGCAGAUAGGGGGACUCAAAGACUCACAGGAAGGGGCAUUCUGUCUGGGACCCUCCCAGGGUUGUGCCAGCAGAUCCAGAGCCCUGGCAUCCAGUUGUGAAACUCACCACUGUGAGACACUGGGAGCAGUUCUCUGAAACAACUUGGACUUCAGACAGUUGCUGCCUUGGCAUGAGACACAUUAUGGGAUGCAGGGAAGGACAGUUGGGAUUGUACAGGAUUUACUGUAGGAUGUUUAGGGGCAGGAUCAAAGGUAAGAAAAAAAAAAAGGAGGGAUUUAGGUCAUUUGGUAGGGAAAACUGGGGGAAACAGAGACACAAGGAAAUAAAAGGAUUAAUUUGUAUUUAAGCAAGCACUGUUGAAUGCACUUUUCUGGCCCUGCUCUGCAUUUAGAAUCACAGAAUCAUUGAAUUGUUUUUAUUGGAUGCAAUUUUAAAGACCAUCUAGUUCCCACUCUGCUGCCAUGUGUGUGGACACCUUCCACUAGGUCAAGUUGCCCAGGGCCACAUCUAAGCUGGCCUUGAGCACUUCAAGAGAUGGGACAUCCACAGCUUGUCUGGGGAACCUAUGCCAGGACCUCAUCACCCUCAUUAUGAAGAAUUUAUUUCUUAUAUCUAACUUUAACCUAUCCUCAUUUAGCUGAAAACCAUUAGCCCUUGUCCUGUCACUGCAACCCUUGAUGAAGAAUCCCCUCUUCAUCUCUCCUGUAGGUGCUCUGUAAGCACUGCAAAUGCCACUAUAACGUCUCCCCGGAGCCUUCAUGUGUCCAAGUGCCAUAAGCUGGGGAGCACAAGACCAGCUGCUGAAUGGAUCCAUCUCAUAUACAGGAUAUACACUCCCAGUGAAGGACUCACUCCACCAGGAAGGGGAAAAGGUACCUCCUGGACAUACAUUUUCAGGCUCACUACUGGAGGCACCUAGGCGUGCAGCGUUGCAGAGGCCUUGCCUCUCUUGGACUUCCAGAUCCAGCAGAAUGUAUGUAGGUUGCUCCACACAUAAUGCCUUCUAUUUAUUUCCACGGAAACUACAGUGGAUACAAAGGGCACAAUAACACAGUUUGAUAGAGCAAAUUCUUAAAUACAAAACACGAUUUUUCAGCUGUGACCACCAUGAGCGUUGCAUUUUCAACAGUGAUGAAAAAGAGCCACACAUAACAGUCUGCACCAGUGGAAGUAACCCGCUGUCUCCACUGCUGAAAUGCCUACCACCCACUGCCUAACUGUGCUCACAUCCACUGGUUGGUCUCCAUCAAUGCUCAGCAGGCACACCUGUGCAAUUUUUUCUGCAUGAAGGAAUUCAGUGACACACCUUUACUUGAUCCACACUUCCACAUCAGAGGCCGUUGUGUCAGACUGCCCCUCUGCUGCCAUCUGUCACACUGCAACAAAAUGGAACAGGAUAUGGGUGGGAAGGUUCUA
ensembl:lncRNA